AUUGCACGCUGGCGGCAGGCCUAACACAUGCAAGUCGAGCGAGCGGCGGACGGGUGAGUAAUGUAUGGGGACUGCCCGAUAGAGGGGGAUAACUACUGGAAACGGUAGCUAAUACCGCAUACUAUCGGAUAACCCAUAUGGGAUUAUAUAGUAGGUGAGGUAAUGGCUCACCUAGGCGACGAUCCCUAGCUGGUCUGAGAGGAUGAUCAGCGCAACGGGAACUGAGGAACGGCCCAGACGCCUACGGAGGCAGCAGGGGGGAAUAUUGCACAGUGGGCGCAGGCCUGAGACAGCCAUGCCGGGUGUAUUAAGAAGGCCCUAGGGUUGCUAAGUACUUUCAGUCGGGAGGCGUAACCGUCAGAAGAAGCACCGGCUAACUCCGUUCCAGCAGCCGCGGUAAUAC
rnacentral:rRNA from 1 species